GCCGACUUGGCUCAGCGGCGACAGCAGCAGUUUUGUAAACUGCCAUUCCACAUCGGGGGUUCGAGUCCCUCAGUCGGCACCA
rnacentral:tRNA from 1 species